UCCGUAGGUGGCGAGCGUUGUCCGGAUUUACUGGGUGUAAAGGGCGUGUAGGCGGGAUGACAAGUCAGAUGUGAAAUCCCAGGGCUUAACCCUGGAGCUGCAUCUGAAACUGUUUUUCUUGAGUGUCGGAGAGGAAAGUGGAAUUCCCAGUGUAGCGGUGAAAUGCGUAGAGAUUGGGAGGAACACCAGUGGCGAAGGCGGCUUUCUGGACGAUAACUGACGCUGAGGCGCGAAAGCGUGGGGAGAAAACAGG
rnacentral:rRNA from 1 species